GACGAACGCUGGCGGCGUGCUUAACACAUGCAAGUCGAGCGGUAAGGCCCUUUCGGGGGUACGACGAGCGGCGAACGGGUGAGUAACACGUGGGUGACCUGCCCUCAGCUCUGGGAUAAGCCUGGGAAACCGGGUCUAAUACCGGAUAUGACUCCAUGACGCAUGUUGUGGGGUGGAAAGCCUUGUGCGGCUGAGGAUGGGCCCGCGGCCUAUCAGCUUGUUGGUGGGGNGGUGGCCACCAAGGCGACGACGGGUAGCCGGCCUGAGAGGGCGACCGGCCACACUGGGACUGAGACACGGCCCAGACUCCUACGGGAGGCAGCAGUGGGGAAUCUUGCGCAAUGGGCGAAAGCCUGACGCAGCGACGCCGCGUGAGGGAUGACGGCCUU
rnacentral:rRNA from 1 species